UACGGGGGGGGGCAAGCGUUGUUCGGAAUUACUGGGCGUAAAGGGCGCGUAGGCGGUUUGCUAAGUUGGACGUGAAAACUCUGGGCUUAACCCAGAGCCUGCAUCCAAAAACUGGCAAGCUGGAGUAUUGGAGGGGGGAAGCGGAAUUCCUGGUGUAGCAGUGAAAUGCGUAGAUAUCAGGAGGAACACCGGUGGCGAAGGCGGCUUCCUGGACAAUAACUGACGCUGAGGCGCGAAAGCUAGGGGGAGCAAACAGG
rnacentral:rRNA from 1 species